AAGAUUUUAAGUUAUUGAAACUAUCGCCCUUCAAAGGCGAAAAUAAAAGAUAGACUUUUAAAUCUUA
rnacentral:tRNA from 1 species